UAGGUAUUUAUGGGAUAACUCUGAUGUGAUAGAUCUAUUUUAUCAUCAUCUGCGUUCUAAAAAUAUUGACCUAUAUGUUGAGCAUGUUGAUGAUGAAGAGACGGGAGCUGAGAUGGAAAUUGGAGGUUUGUAUAAUGUGAUUGGGAAUAUUGAUGAUGACGGGAAUCAGCUUGAGGUUGCUAAUAGGGAUCUGGAUGAGGGGGAGGAUGAUGAUGCAUGUAAUUUAGUGGAUGUGGAACAAUCGAGUGACGGUGAUGAUUUUGAACUGGUUGAUGCAAGGAGAAAAUUAAAGGAAUUUUCAGCGAGACAUAGGCUACAAAGUGGCGCUUAUAGUGAGGUAGCUGGUACUUCCCAAACACCGGUUGUGGAUGAGGCUCAGUUGGUAGAUGCUUCUGGGUACGAAACAGAGUACCGUUAUUCAGAUGAUGAAGAAAGUCUUCAAUCAGGUUUGAAUGAUAAGGGCGAUGAGGAGGUUGAAGUUGCUAUUUCAAGGAGGAGAAGUAGGUUCCCAUCAUAUGAACAAAAUGGUACAAAUCUGGUAUUUAUUGUCGGCAUGACAUUCGAGGAUGCAGCUGAAUUUAAAGAUGCAAUUUUGAGGUAUUCUGUGGCUGAGCAAAGAGCAAUCAAAUACACCAAGAACACAAAAAAAUUUGUAAGAGCCAGGUGUGCCCAGACAAAUUGUAAUUGGAUGAUUUAUGGUGCUCUUGAUAGCAAGACAGGGUCAUUUCAUUUGAAAAAAUAUAUAGAUGAGCAUAUAUGUAGUAUCACUUUCGAGAAUAAGAGAGUGUCUAGUGCUUACUUAGCUAAACACUUCAUGAUUCUCAUUUCUGCAAUGCCUAAAAUCAAUGCACCUGAGUUGAAGAAAUUAGUUAGAGAACAGCUGGGAGUAAAUGUCACUUUGAGUCAGUGUAGGAGAACAAAGCUAAAAGUAUUGAAGGAAUUGCAAGGCAAUUAUAAGGAGGAGUAUGCACAGAUGUAUGACUACUUGGGGGAGCUUUACACCACAAGUCCUGCAAGCAAUUUAAAGAUGAAAGUUGAAAGGCCACUGUCAGAUUCUCUACCAUUAUUUGAUAGGGCUUACUUUUGCUUUGAUGCCUGCAGGAAAGGUUUUUUGGCUGGAUGUAGGAAGAUAAUUGGAUUAGAUGGAUGUUUCUUGAGGGGUUUGAUCAAGGGUGAGUUAUUGUGUGCCGUAGGGAGGGAUGCCAACAACCAAAUGUAUCCAGUGGCAUGGGCAAUGAUAAGAAUCGAGAAUAAGGACACAUGGACUUGGUUUAUCGAAUUGUUGAAAUCAGACCUUGAUAUGUGUAAUGGCAAUGGUUGGACUUUGAUAAGUGACCAACAAAAGGGUCUCGUCCCUUCCGUAGCUGAACUUUUGCCAAAUGCAGAACAUAGGAUGUGUGCAAGGCACAUAUAUUCCAAUUGGGGACAAAAAUACAACGGAAAACAGUUGAUGAGACAAUUUUGGAAAUGUGCUAAGAGUACUAAUAUGUCAGAUUUUGAGGUUCAUAGACAAAGAUUGAAAGAAAUGACUCACCAAGGUCAAGACGAUCUAUUCCGUACCGAGCCAAAAGACUGGUGCAAAGCCUUCUUUGACACCAAAAUUAAAUGUGAUGUUAUUGAUAAUAAUCUCAGUGAAGCUUUCAACGGGAGGUGCGUGGAAGCUAGGUGCAAGGCCAUUUUGAGCAUGCUGGAGGAUAUUAGAAUCAUGGUUAUGAAUAGAAUGCACACUCAGAGGGAUGGAUGUGCCAGGUGGACUAGAAAUUAUGGUCCAAGGAUUGCGCAUAAGUUACAUCAGAAUACAACUGCUAGUAGGUAUUGUCAUUUGAUAUGGAAUGGAGAUGAAGGAUAUGAGAUUAUGGAAGGUGGUGACAAAUAUGUUGUUGACUUCAAUUUGAAGACUUGUUCUUGUCGAGCUUGGGAACUUAGUGGAAUUCCAUGUUGUCAUGCCAUUUGUGCGAUACACCACAAGAGAAAUGAUCCGAGCGACUACCUAGCUGAGUGCUUCUACAAGGUAAAGUAUCUAAGUGCUUAUCAAUUCAUGAUGCCUACGGUGAGAGGACAGAAAUUUUGGGAGAAAACGCUGAAAGAAGCUCCUCAACCCCCACCGAUGAAGAAGAUGCCCGGUAGGCCAAAAAGAAGUAGAAGAAAGCAACCAAUUGAGCUUGUAAAAGGUGAUAGAAUGACUAAAGAGGGUAAACGAAUGACUUGUUCUACCUGCAUUGUGGUUGGACAUAAUAGCAAAGGAUGUCCUUUGAAAAAGGCCAAUGCUCAGGCCAAUGUAUGUUCAUCUAGUGCUCAUGCCAAUGCAAGUACAGCUGAAGCUCAUGCUCAAUCUCAAGCCAAUGUGUGUUCAUCUAGUGCUCAUGCCAAUGCAAGUACAGCUGAAGCUCAUGCUCAAUCUCAGGCCAAUUCCAUUGGACCAAGGCCUGACAAAAGACAAAUAAGUUGUGGUAGAACCAUCUAUUGUAAGUUUUAUAUGUCAUGGUUCCAAUUUAAUGAUGAUGAGUAUCUAUUCAGGCUAAAGCUAAAGCAACGACAAGCGUAAGUGAAGGAGGAUCCAAAGGCCAGGCCAAUGCUUCUGCAGAGGCCAGUGCAAUACGAGACAAUAGUGGGCAGGCCAAUGCUUCUGCUCAGGCUAGUGCAAAUGUAAGAGGAUGCAGUGCCACUCCAUCCUCUCAUAUAGGAUGUACAGCUACCGCUGAUAUAAGAGGAUGCAGUGGUGAGGCCAAUGCUUUUGCUAAAGUCUGUUUGAUCAAGGUGAAGGUAUUUAUAGUGCUCAAGCCAAUGUAAUUGCUCAGGAUAGACCGCAGAAAAUCCCAUUUAAAAGACCUGCAAUUGAAAAUGAAAUGAUGCAAGGACAAGCACAGGCGAAGAGGAAGAAAAUGGUAGGGUUGGGUGUUGACACAAAUCGUAGGACAAACCUUCAAAUUCUCAACCCCGGCACAACUGGUGUAAGAGUAUGUAACCUACCAGACAAAGGGGUAGUUUUAGGAGCUGCUUCAAUGGCAAAGGCACAUCCCCAAGCCAAUGCACAACCUCGGCAAUUAAGAACUUGUCCUCGAAAGCAUGUUGAUGUAAAGCGAAAGGCACCAUUACAACCCAAGGCGAGUUCCCAACCUCAGUCAUAUCAUGCUACAACAGCUCAAAAACAUCGUGUAAAGCGAACGACACCGUCACAACCCCAAGCGAGUUCUCAACCUCAGUCAUCUCAUGCUACAAUAGCUCCUCGAAAGCAUAUUGCGGUGAAGCCAAAGCCACUAUCACAACCAUAGGCCAGUUCCCAACCUCAGUCAUCUCAGGCUACAACAACUCCUCCAAAGCCUAUUGUUGCAGGACCAUAUAUGGAAAAGCCCAAGAAUUAUGAAUAAUGUGAAGGUCGAA